CAUAGGAAAUGAAUGGCCGAAUAUCCGUCGAAUAUCCAACUUCAAACUAACUUCACCACGGUCUUUAGCUGUCUGGUGACCAUUUUUAUCUAUGUUGCAGCUGAGGUAGCAAGGCUCUUUGCGCCGUAUAACGGCGGAGCCAGAAGAAAUAUCACGAGACGACCAGCUCAAGUCCAAGUGAGUCGAAGAAGCUAUACACACACUGUGUGUUGUUUGGCUGACCACAAGGCGGAUAAAGUCCCAAGCGUACAGCUUAAAGCGGACCUUCAUAUUUCAGGACUUGGAGAGCACAAAGUGACAUUUUCAGGUCAGUGCGAAACUAGGCAUUUACCAAAACCAAAAUAAGUUUGUACUGUCCGGCUCGUUGAAAUGAUUUGCAGUUCUACUCAGCAUUUCUUUUUAUAGUUAUAAAUAUUUCCUGUUCAUAUUUGACUCAAACUUAAUUGAUUUUCAUAGUGUGAAUAAUAGUUAUCACAGGCUUAUUUGAGUCAAUAUGAGUUAUGAUUUUUUUUUAUUUUCUCCAGGGAAUGACAGCGAUCCCAUGGUCAUAACAAACAAGUUGAUGGAAGUAUUUCCGAAGCUCCAAGAAGGGGGAGGCUUCGAAUUUUUAAAAAUUGCAGGAUCUACACGGAGUCGAAAUCUGGCAUUGCUUCAGUGUCCCAGCACUGGAUACACGCUUGCCUAUCUAAAGGAUCCAGCUUCGAUGAUUGGACAGGCUACAAUCUUCAUUCGUCCGCUUCAACAGGAUCUACCCUUCGAUUGUGAGAGCUCAAGUUCUGCCUCUGGUCCAGUCAUCCCCUGCAUCACCUGUCAGAAGGAGGUUCCCUUUUCAGAGAUGAAGCUGCACAGAUUGAGCUGCAAUGGAAUGGAAGCUUAUUGAAGAACCGUCUCAAGCUGCCAAAGUUUUCAAAGAGAAUCUGCUGAAGGAACAUGCAUCUGGGACACCACUUCGAAUGAAGAUGGAUGUAAGGGACUCUGAAGAGGACAGGGAACGGGAACUUCUCUUGUUCUAUAAACAGCAGCAAGAAUGGGCAUGUCCACUUCAUUGUACUCUUGUUGGUGAUGCUGCUGUCGGAGAGGGAGUGAUGAGGUACUUUCUGACAACGGUGAUAUCCAAACUCCAAUUUGGAUUCAGUCUAGAUCUUGGAGGAAUGGGCCGAACACUGCUGUUUGAGGGUGAACCUGACCAUCUUGUUCCAGCAGCAUCAGAGGCACUCAUUGAAAGCAAUCUCUUCCGGGUUGCAGGAAGGAUGUUGGCCCACAGCUUUCUGCAUGACGGUCCCCAUGUCACAGGAUUAAGUCCUGCUGUGAUUCAUGUACUGUUCAAUGGGGAUCCUGAAAUGGCAACUGUUGUUACAGAAGACUGUCCUGAUCUGCACAUCAGGAGUAUCAUAAAACUGGUAUGUAACAUAUAA
rnacentral:lncRNA from 1 species